UGGACGAUAACAAGGCGAUGAGAUUCCUUGUUCAAUUGUACAAGACCAGUCCGCCAACAUUGACCAAGGAUGUGCUCACAUUGGUGAUUGCUACAAAUUAGGGCUUUUCCAACACUGUGGUGCAUCUGGCGUCGGAGAUGUAGUGAAAGCCGGACCUGAUUGUUUAUGUGACCAACAACCAGCUGUGACGGUGGGCAACCGAUGUUGAUGGUGGCAAGACAUCCGAUUUGGGGAAAGAAAGCACUGACAGUAGCAAUACUGUGGACGGCAUGUAUACGAAUGCCGACGAUGAUGGAUGGCAUGAGAGGUCCCAAUUCGUGGCCCAUCAGGAGGAUUUGGACACUGUUGGUGAUAAGGAAGAGGAAAGAUUGCAAAGGCGAGCCCCCUGCUUCGUUUUCGUCUUGCAACUCCGACGAUAGCAGCCCGAAGCUUCUUAACCACAACAUCAUCGGCACGAUUUUAGGAUCAGCUCAAGGAUUACCUCUGUUGCAUUGAUAUAAUUGGACGCACUUCUUCAAUUUGUUGGGCUUCAUCUUCAUCAACCACAAUCUUGCCAUUCAGAGUGAAAAAACGUAUAGAUUACGUCCCCUGUAGCUUGCUUGUGGAACACAAUUUCAAGGAGAUAUCCAGAAAUGAAUGCGGCAAAGAUUUCCUAGAAGAAUUAAGGCUAUAACAGAGUAAUUUUCUUAGCUCAACUUCCACUGACAGCUAUCAAACAAAGGCAUUGUCACCAUUGCUCUUGAGGUUAAAAGUUCAGGCAUGCUAGGUGAAAUAGCAGUAAUGUUUUCGUUUGUUAAUGAGUAUAAAUUAACUAAUAAUUCUUAAAUGCAACACAUCUGAAAUCAUAAAAUUUAAUCAACCUAGGUUCUUGAUAAUACAACCUUUCAGCUAUAUAUCUCAUUUAAUAUCAAUGGGUCAUCACAACUUAGCCUAAAUCCCAAACAUCUAGUUGGAAAAACAUAAUAAAAUUAGGCGGCACCUAAUGGAAGAAAGAGCACCACAAAUUUUGACACAGCUGGGACAAGUUACAAGAAUUCAUACAUCACGAGCAAAUCAAUGGCUCAAGCAGAAAUGAUCUGGUAAGGAAUGUGAAGUAGAUCAAUGUCCACAGAGAUUAAAGGUUAAGAAGUUUCUAUGGGCCCUGGAAUGCGAUUGCACAAGUGCUAGCUUGUCCUGAAAAGGAAGUAGCAUUUCGCCAAAAUGGAGGGGCGUCGACCUUAUUCCUGAUCACUGCACCUGGUUCCCAAAGAAUACACACAAAUUCAUCACUGAAAGCGAAGAUUACAUGGACCAUGCAGGAUGCAUCUUUUGAGGCUUAGAGUCCCUAACAGGACUGGACAUGUUCUUGCAUCUUAUAAUUUAAGUUGUUUCACCUAACACAAAGCAGUGUGUUUUUAAUGCAUUGAAUUUCUUUGCCUACGUUUGGUGGUGCUUUUUACUGGGGAGAUCUACUCCUUUUAAAAAAUUAUAAUUCGUUUUCUCUAAAGCCUCUUUAACAUGUAUUUUGAACGUGGACCAUACUACUCAUUUAUGAGUGUUUUUGCUUAAGCUUAGUGUUUUUUUAUGCUCUGAAUUGAUCUAGAUUCAUAUUCCUUUUACUGCCAUUAUUUGGCAUCUUAAUCCACAAAAGUUGAAAGCUAUAUAUAUAUAUAUAAUUUAUUUAUUUAUUUAUGCAUGUGUAGAUGUGUAGAUGUGUACAAGUGUGCAUAUGCAUUGCGAGUGUAGGGUGGGUUGCUACAUGUGCAUGUUGCAUAGCAUAGUGUUUAUAUACUCAUCUACUGCUUCUAUGUUAAGCAUCUUACUAAUGUAUUGCAAGGUUGCAAAUGGCACCUAACCCUCAACUGCUUGAUCUUGGUUGUUUUCAUGUAACUGCUAUAUUUCCAUGAAUCCGCUAUAUCUGUAUAUUUUUAUUUUUAAAUAUUCUGUUUUGUACUUGAUCAGACACUUUUCUUCCAGAAAACUAAAAUGUGGAUUCUUCCUCCA